UCUCCCUUUCCUCCAGCCACGGAGGAGACGAUCUAAGAGCGAUAACGAUAGCUGACGAAGGCGCUGACGAAGAGAACCGCUCGAAAGGGAAUUAUUAUUUUCCGCCAUCAUGAGACUCACGUGCGUCUCAGCGGCGGCGGCGGCGACGUGCCUGCUCCUCCUCCUCGCCCCCUCCCCCUCCCCUGCCUCCCCCCUCCCCGAGGCCAGCCCAGAGCCCACUUUCUGGUG
rnacentral:lncRNA from 1 species